GCCCAGCCGUAUANNAUCACUUUCNCUUACCUGCGCCUGGGCUAUUUCGUGUCNAACUUAAAACCCAAAGGACUUGACGGUGUCCUACCCCCUACUAGAGGAGCCUGUUCUAUAACCGAUAAUCCACGUUAUACCUAACCAUCCCUUGCCUAUCAGCCUGUAUACCUCCGUCGCAAGCUUACCAUAUGAACGCAUAACUGUAGGCUCUAGGACUUAACGCCAUAACGUCAGGUCAAGGUGCAGCUUAUGAGAUGGAAAGUAAUGGGCUACAAUCUCUAAAUUAGAACAAACGAAAAACUACAUGAAACAUAGACAUGAGGGUGGAUUUAGUAGUAAAUAAGGAAUAGAGAGCCUUAUUAAACUUGGCCCUGGGACGUGUACAAACCGCCCGUCACCCUCUUCAAUAGCCACUGAUAGCUUAAUAACCUUACUCUGCAAAUCAGAAGAGGCAAGUCGUAACACGGUAAGUGUACUGGAAAGUGCACUUGGCACAA
rnacentral:rRNA from 1 species